UGAGGAAUAUUGGUCAAUGGGCGCAAGCCUGAACCAGCCAUGCCGCGUGCAGGAAGAAGGUCCUAUGGAUUGUAAACUGCUUUUAUUUGGGAAUAAACCUCUUUACGUGUAGAGAGCUGAAGGUACCAAAUGAAUAAGCACCGGCUAACUCCGUGCCAGCAGCCGCGGUAAUACGGAGGGUGCAAGCGUUAUCCGGAAUCAUUGGGUUUAAAGGGUCCGCAGGCGGACUUAUAAGUCAGUGGUGAAAGCCUACAGCUCAACUGUAGAACUGCCAUUGAUACUGUAAGUCUUGAAUAUGUUCGGAGUGGGCGGAAUGUGACAUGUAGCGGUGAAAUGCUUAGAUAUGUCACAGAACACCGAUAGCGAAGGCAGCUCACUAGACCAUUAUUGACGCUCAUGGACGAAAGCGUGGGGAGCAAACAGG
rnacentral:rRNA from 1 species